rnacentral:rRNA from 1 species
CCUACGGGAGGCAGCAGUAGGGAAUCUUCCGCAAUGGACGAAAGUCUGACGGAGCAACGCCGCGUGAGCGAAGAAGGUCUUCGGAACGAAAAGCUCUGUUGUUAGGGAAGAACAAGUACGGGAGGAAAUGACCGUACCUUGACGGUACCUAACGAGGAAUCCACGGCUAACUACGUGCCAGCAGCCGCGGUAAUACGUAGGUGGCAAGCGUUGUACGACGUUAUUGGGCGUAAAGCGCGCGCAGGCGGUCUUUUAAGUCUGAGGUUAAAUGUUUUGGCUCAACAGCAAGCGGUAAUUGGAAAAUGGGAGAUUUGAGUGUGGAAUUGGAAAGCGGAAUUCCUCGGGUUGUGGUGAAAUGCGUAGGGAUGUGGAGGAACACAAGUGGGGAAGGCGGCUUUCUGGUCUGUAACUGACGCUGAGGCGCGGAAGCGUGGGGAGCAAACAGGAUUAGAUUACCGGGUAGUC